rnacentral:pre_miRNA from 1 species
UUACAAUUAAAGGAUAUUUCUCGUGACUGCAAAAUAAAAAACGGAAAUAUCUCUUAAUUGUUUGGU